UUAUGCUGUAUCAAUAUAAUUUACCGUACCUUCGUCUAUAUUUUUUAUUUUUCUAAAUUAUUAUAAGUAAGUUUUGCAUUUGUGAAUAACUUAUAAAAUAUUGAUGAUUUUUAUAAAGAUUUUGAAAGUCUAAACAAACUCUUUAAGGUUUUUUUUUAUAAUAGCUAAAUCUGAGCGCACAUUAGAGAGCCAGGAUAGGUAUGUAAUAUUUGAAACACGUAUUGAAGACUAUAAAAAAAUUAGUUCUGAAUGUUAUGCCAUUCCAAAAUGAAGAGAAAUUUUCAUAGUUUUUAUUAUUGUGACUGACUGAAUGACUUUAUCAAUCAUCAAAAUGUUAAGACACUUUUCCUGUAGGUAGAAAUGUGGAAUUUGGCACAAUGACAGGAAGUAUUUGUGUUCACAAUGGACCAACAGGUCGAGUGCAUGGGUAUAAUGUCUACCUCAAUAAUAACUAGAAAGUUUUUGGAUUUAAGGAAAUUAGAUCAAACGAAACAUUUUAAAAAUUCUGUGUAAAUUGGUUUACCAAUGAUUUUUGUUCGAUAAAAAUCAGGUUUUAAAUAAGUAAAUUUUAGAAUCGGCUAAGAAUUUUCAUUGAAUUAUUUUUUU